AAACUCCUGACCUCAGGUGAUCCAUCUGCCUUGGCAUCCCAAAAUGCUAGGAUUAUAGGUGUGAGCCACCACACCUGGUUAAAAGUCGCUGUCUUUAUACAAGACCUCACUCUUGUUAAUUGGAUUGGGCUCUUCUGGCAGCGAGUAGAUCAUGUGGACUCUGCAGUAAGUGAUACUGUGAAGCCAUGUAGCGGGUGGUCGGGGAAAAAUGCUGGCAGGUGCUUCAAGCAAGGACACCUACGCAUAGAAUUCUGACAGCGGCUGGACCCUCAACUUCUUCAGAAGACUGACUGGGUGAUCUGGCCUGACACCCGUCUGGUGGCCUCCCAUGAACAGGAACCAAGCCAGAAAGAGCUGAGACCAGACCCGCUGUCCCUAAAGACCGGGCCCAGAAUGUCAGGGUGAAGCUGUAGGGGGAGGGUGAAAGCUGGUGAUGUGGGCAGAGACCAGCUAUGGGGUGGUCAGGGGAUUCUGGGAGGUGCAUGGCUAUGCUGCAGACCCACCCAGGACAGGGGUGGCUGUGGAAGAAUGACAAAUAAAUACAUGGCAAAGUCUCAGGGGCUGUGCAUUAUGCCAUGAGAAAACACUGACGGCCAAGUGAGGCAGACAGGCCAGCAGGAGCAGGCAGGUAUCCACGAUUCAGAGCACCUGCUGCUUUCCUGCGUCCUCACUGCACUGGAGGAUGUGAUGGCCACCCUCAAAUCACCAGGAAGAGAGCUUGAUCACCCUCUGCGGUGACCUGGGCCACAGAUAGGGGACAUUCUGCAAGAAGGCAAGAUGCAUAACCCAUGCUCUAAGAGUUAUCUGCCUCUGAUAUACAUAUGCCUGGGCAAAUAUCAAGGGCAGAGUUAUUAUUUUUUUUUAUGUGGACUUCCCAGAGGCCAGACGAUGCUGUGUGCAGGGUCUCCCAGGUACAGGAAGGACGUUCUUUCUGUUCACCCACAUUGUUCUUGUAGCUGAUGGAUGUUCUCUCUCGGACUGUCCUCAGUGGAAGGGGGUAACGUUACUUCUCAACAAUCAAACAAGUCCUGUACUCUUCCAGGAUCUCUGGUUGGGGACAUUCCCAUGGCUAGUCACUCAUUCCAGUAUCUUUUCUGCUUUGUGACAAAACGAAGGAUCAGGAUGAUUUUCCUAAAUAGGAAAGAAAAUUAGGAAAGCUGGGGCUCCAGGUUGCUUUAAUGCCCACACCUUCCUAGAUUGUCCUGAGUGCUGGGGCUUCGUUACCAGGCUGCAGAAGACAGCAGGGCCAUGUGUCUAAAAGGGCACCUGAUACAGAACUGUCAAUCAUCAAAUGUGUGGUGAAUGAAUGAGUGAGGAAGUCAGUGAAGGAAGUGUUGGGUCUCGUUAAUACAUACAGUUAAAACACUUACAUACAAAUAAUCAGGGGCUCACACGUUGUUUUCUACAAGUGAAGGUGGUUGUCAAACAUCCCUGAAAAACACACAAGCACACGCACACAUGAACAUACACACCCUUUUCCCUGCCAGCCAUCUCUAAAUAAACCCAAUGACUCUACUAGAAAACCCCAAUCAAUUUCCUACUAAAUAAACCCAACAAUUCUGACA